CGAGCUGCAAACAUCAUCCGCUUUGAGCGCUUAGGCGCAGUGAUUACAUGCUCUCAGAGAGAGAUAGAGGGAGAGAAAGUCGCGAGGCUCUAUUUAGAAGUUGCAUUUGUGGUAGAUUUGCAGUGCGUAAAAACAGGAGUUUUUGCCGUCUGCUUUUUUCUCUACUCGUGUGGAAUUUCCUAUGUUGUUUUGGGACUUUGUGUGAAGAAGGGGCUGUCUGUUCUGAGCACAGGGAGUGUUGGCUAUGCGUCCUGGCUGCAGCCUGCAAUGUUUGCGCUGACGCCAAAACUCACAGACCGGUGCAGAAUUGAUUAAAACAGAGGAGCUCGGAUCAAAUGGCUGUGCUUCUCACAGCUGAAACAACACAAUGUUCCACUGACCCAAGGCACAGGAGAGGAAUUUCACAAUCGGGCAGCCUUGUUGCUGUGUAUUUCACUGCCUUUUCGCGGACAGAGGAAAUGGGAAAUGCUCAUUUCUUGUAAGAAAAAGGAAUAACACUUUUUUUUUUCGUCUUUAAGUGCACUUUGUGAGAGGGAGAGGAGAUGAUUUGGUUAAUAUUCCUUCUCUCCAUCCUGCAUGGAGCUGUUUCUCAGCUACACUACUCCGUGCCAGAGGAGCAGGAGCCUGGCUCCGUUGUUGGGAAUAUUGCAGAGGAUUUGGGUCUGGACAUUACCAAACUUUCCGCUCGCCGUUUCCAGACGGUGCCCAGUUCGCGUACACCUUAUCUGGAGGUGAACUUAGAGAACGGAGCGCUUGUGGUGAAGGAGAAAAUCGACCGAGAAGAAAUCUGCAAGCAAACCAUCCCGUGCCUAUUGCACCUGGAGGUGUUUCUGGAGAACCCACUGGAGCUGUUUCGUGUUGAAAUAGAAGUGAUGGAUAUCAACGACAAUCCACCCAGUUUCCCGGAGACUGACAUUUCCGUGGAAAUAUCGGAGAGUGCCAUCCCCGGGACCCGUUUCCCGGUGGAGAACGCCUUCGACCCGGACGUGGGCACAAACGCGCUCAGCACUUAUGCCAUCACGAACAAUAACUAUUUUUACCUUGACGUUCAGACGCAGAGUGACGGGAACAAGUUCGCAGAGCUGGUUCUAGAGAAGCCACUGGACCGGGAGCAGCAGGCGGUGCACCGCUACGUGCUGACGGCUGUGGAUGGGGGCAUCCCGCAGCGCACAGGAACGGCUCUCCUUGUCGUUAAAGUUCUGGACUCGAACGAUAACGCGCCCACCUUUGACCAGUCAGUGUACUCUGUCAACCUGCGGGAAAACUCUCCCGUGGGAACUCUGAUCAUCCAGCUCAAUGCCACAGAUGUUGACGAGGGACAAAACGGGGAGAUAGUUUAUUCUUUCAGCAGUCACAACGCCCCGCGGAUAAAGGACCUAUUCAACAUUGACGCCAGGACAGGUAGGAUAGAGGUGGCGGGAGAGGUGGACUACGAGGAGAGCAGCACCCACCAGAUUUACGUCCAGGCUAAAGACAUGGGGGCUAAUGCGGUGCCCGCGCACUGCAAAGUGCUGGUGAAACUCGUGGACGUUAACGACAACACACCGGAGAUCGGUUUCAGCACUGUGACCGAGUCCGUGAGCGAGCAGGAUGCCCCGGGCACAGUCAUCGCACUUUUUAGCGUCUCAGACCGGGACUCUGGCGAGAAUGGACACAUGAGCUGCGAAAUUUUAGGAGACGUUCCUUUUAAACUCAAAUCUUCUUUUAAGAACUACUACACCAUCGUUACGGACGGACCGCUGGACAGAGAGAACACAGACUCCUACACCAUCACCGUGGUCGCCAAAGACAAGGGGCAGCCGUCGCUUGCCACCAGCAAGUCUAUCAAAGUGCACGUCUCGGAUGAAAAUGACAACGCGCCCCGCUUUACGCAGGCUGUGUAUGAUGUGUAUGUGACUGAGAAUAACGUGCCUGGGGCUUUCAUUCACGCUGUGAGCGCCCUGGACCCUGACAUAGGACAAAACGCUCUCAUUACCUACUCCAUAUUGGAGUGUGACAUACAGGGCAUGUCCGUGGACACGUAUGUAUCCAUAAACCAGGACACCGGCUACCUUUACGCGCUCCGCUCUUUUGACUACGAGCUGCUGAAGGAGUUUAGUUUCAUGGUGCAGGCUAAAGACGGUGGCGCAGCCGAGCUCUUCUCUAACGCCACUGUCAAUGUAAUCAUAGUGGACCAGAAUGACAACGCACCCACUGUCAUAGCCCCCAUCGGUAAGAACGGCACAGCCAAAGAGCACCUGCCCCGCUCUGCUGAGCCUGGGUACCUGGUGACGCGAAUCAUGGCUAUGGAUUCGGAUGAUGGCGAGAACGCACGGCUUUCCUACAGCAUUCUGCGGGGCAACGAGAUGGGGAUGUUUCGCAUGGACUGGAGGACGGGGGAGCUGAGGACAGCCCGCAGGAUCUCCCCUAAGAGGGACCCACAGGGCUUCUACGACCUUCUCAUCGAAGUGAGGGACCACGGGCAGCCCCCUCUCUCCUCUUCUGCAAGUGUGAGCGUAAUGUUAGUGGACAGCGUGGUGGAGGGCCGCAGUGGGGACCGUGGCUCGGCCUCCAAGGCGAAGGAGACCUCCCUUGACCUCACCCUCAUCCUCAUCAUAGCCCUUGGCUCUGUGUCGUUCAUCUUCCUCCUGGCCAUGAUCGUGCUGGCCGUGCGCUGUCAAAAGGACAAGAAGCUCAACCUGUACACGUGCCUACUAGCCGGAGAGUGUUGCCUGUGCUGCGGUUCGUGCUGCAGCAGGCAGGCCCGCGGCCGGAAGCAGAAGAAGCUGAGCAAAUCCGACAUCAUGUUGGUCCAGAGCACCAACGUUACGUCAGGGGUCGGGCCCGUGGGGCAGGUGCCCGUGGAGGAGUCUGGCGUGGGUGGCGUGGGAGGGGGUUUCGGUUCCCACCACCACCAGAACCAGAACUCCUAUUGCUAUCAGGUGUGUCUGACCCCGGAGUCGGCCAAAACGGAUCUGAUGUUCCUGAAACCAUGCAGUCCCUCCCGCAGCACUGAGACGGAUCACACCAAUCCCUGUGGCGCCAUAGUGACAGGUUACAGUGACCAGCAGCCGGACAUCAUAUCCAACGGCAGCAUCCUCUCUAAUGAGACGAAACACCAACGGGCAGAACUCAGCUACUUGGUGGACCGGCCUAGACGUGUCAACAGCUCUGCAUUCCAAGAGGCAGACAUAGUCAGCUCCAAAGACAGCGGGCAUGGCGACAGCGAACAGGGCGACAGUGACCACGAUGCCACCAACCGGGGUCAUUCUGCCGGCGCUGACCUGUUUUCCAACUGCACGGAGGAGUGCAAGGCCCUGGGUCACUCCGACCGCUGCUGGAUGCCCUCCUUUGUGCCGUCCGACGGGCGCCAGGGGCCGGACUACCGCAGCAACCUGCACGUCCCCGGCAUGGACGCCACGUUGCCCGACACUGAGGUACCCUCCUCCGUCAACCUCUCCGAUCAACUCACCAUGACCUCGUCUACCGCCUCGUCCAACGAUAGGUCAUUCUCCACCUUUGGCAAGGACGGUCAAAGGUCACAGUCACACCAAAGCCUUCACCAUCACCUCCAUCAGCAACAGCAGCAGUACAGCUCCAGCACGCUAGAGAGGAAAGAGUAUGAUAGGGGGACCCUACCAUACAAACCCACCUUUCUCUGUGAGUAUCAGUAUGAAAAUUCCCUGGGACCUUAUGACUUUGGUCUGGUCCAGAACAGAUACUAAAUUCGGGGACCAUGAAUCUUCCUUUUUGAUUCUGAUCGGGACUUUUACAUGUCGCGUAUCUUCUAUUUUAUAAAGAUUUUUUUUAACACAGCUUUAUGUUUUGUUGUAAUGCUUUUUAUUUUGUAAUUUAUGAUUUUUUUUUGUUGAAUGUAAAAUGAAAUCCAUUAUUGCUAACUCCCUAUCCUUCAAAACCCACUUUGAGAAAUUCAACCUUACCCUAUCCUAACCCUUAACAAUUUCUGUGAACAUGUAAUUUAUAAUAAAAUAAUUUCAAUCGGACUCAUGACAAACUGCUGUGGCCCCUUUUUCCUUCUCUAAAUUCCCCCUGAAAUCCCCCCCAAAUAAGCCUUUUUAUCUGAUGCUCAUACAAGUAAAGGUUAGCAACACAAGCACACUUCACGCACCAUUAAAAUGGCAUGUAUUGUUUAAAACAUCAUGUGAGUUUAUAGAGAGGAAAUCAAAGAUAGAUCGUUUCAUUGUAAAGGACAUAUUUUUCCAUUUGUUCAACAACAAGCUCGAUCACGAUGACUUCCCUACUGAAUAGCUUCGAAAGGUGAAACACACAACCCACGCUUCUUUUUUUCACAAGGAUUGAAGUCCAUUUUGUUCUAAAAAGGAAGUGUCGAGUAUCUAUACUUGCUUGCCUGUGAAUCAAUACCUGACAUAAAGAAUGGUUGGUGAGGUUGGGCUGUGAACCCUGAGGUCAAGAUUCUUCAGUUGGUAAUAUCACGUACACAAGUUUGUGUGCAAGAAAGGACGAAAACAAUUAAAGUAUGAGGAAGGCGUAAUUUGGCUAAUAAGAGGUAUUGAUAUCCAUUUGAAUUAAAUUGAGAUGGCAUUUCUAAAGAUGCAGAAUGGGAAUCAUUGGCAGGACAUUUCUUGUAGAUGUCAAUUGCUCUCCAAGCUUCCUCAUUACAUGAAUAUUCUAUUAGCUCUAAGAGUGGGGAAUGGAUUCGAUAUACACAUUCAGUAGAGAAGUCAUUUCCAGUCAAGUCACCACCAUGUUAACCACCAUCCUCCAUGAUACUGCAUGCUGGCUGUGGACUGUCUCUCAGCCCGCAAAAGGAUUUGCUAGCUCGUUCCACGUAGACCUGUCGGAGACAGCGUGAAUUUCUGUGCUAAAACCACCAACACUGAUGCUGGAGACAGCAACAUAAAACUACAAAAACAGUAACCCUGGACAAAAGCAACCUUGGUUAGUCUUCAUUAUCUUGGGUGGCGAACUGUAACAAAGCCUUGGCAGUGGUCGCCGAGGGAGAAGAGAAGAACUAAAUACUGAGUAGCUGUAAACCUCAAGAUAUUUUGAGAAGCAAUCCAAGGCCUUAUUCCUCUCAGCAGGACUGAGACUGGGGCCGAAAAACUCAACAUGUGAAAUUAUUAAGUCAUCAGCAGACGUAUUAGAGGAACUGAAAUGGACAGAGGAAUAUAAAACCUGAAGAAGAGGGACCCAUUAACCCACCGAGGUGGGUUUUUUGUUUUCUUUUGGACUGAGGAGUUAGCCUCUAGAGAUCUGUGUGUGCCUGUUUACAUGAUGAAGAAAAAUAAAGUUUCUGUACAAACUUCAACCAAUGUCACACGGAGCCCUUUAGCUAUUUCUAUGGUCACCACUAAGCCAACUGUACAGAGACUGUGUGGGGUAAAAAAAAUGUAGAGGAAGUGAGAAACUGAGCAGAUGAUUAGACAUAGUGGGAGAGAGAUCAGGUGUUGUACAGGUAUAAAGACACGAGGAAAAUAAAAAAGAAGGAAAAGGAGACGAGCAGAGAUGAUGUGCAGUACUAUAAAAUUCUGUAUCUCCGGUUUUUUGACUUGACUGUCUUUAUAUAACUUCUCUUUUUUUUGUUUCUGUUGUUCUUUCUGUGUGGUUAAAGUGUGCAGACUAAAGUAUUCCAACUUACUGUUACAGACAGGAACAUGCUGUCAGGAGCCCGGUUCAGUCCUCUUUCAAGUUUAGCCACUUCAGGAAGGAGAUUUUAACACUGCUUAGAAAAAAAGGGAAAGAAAACAAUCAACAUGUUCAGUUUCUCAAUAAAACAUCACAAAUGAAUGUUCUCAUGUCUAAUCUAGUGACUAACAGUUCCUUCCUGAGCUGACUGCAGAGAAAGUGAAAUGACCCUUUACCAGGAUAUGGUUCCCUUGAUGCCAUUGGCCUAUACAUAAACAAUCAGACACA